AUGACACUAGUAAAGAUGGACUGUGCGUUUUCUGUGGAGAUCAAGAAAGUUGUAAGCACAUUUUCUUUGAAUGUGAGAAAACCAAGAGGGCGUGGAAGAAAACUCUGCAGUGACUACACAUUCAACAUGAGCCGGAUGGAUGGGACAAUGAGAUUGUUUGGUGUGAUCAUGGGGCAAGUGGAGGAUAAUAGAAAGCUUACUAGUUUUUGUAGAAAUCUUUGA